rnacentral:lncRNA from 1 species
UUUUUUUUUUUUUUGAAAAAAAUGGUCAAUUUAUUACACGACUCAUUCGAUAUAUUUAUGAAAAUUAAAACUUUUAUUUUUUAAAAUAUUAAUAAAAAGUAGUAUUUUAAACUUUUUUAUGUCAACAAAAUGUUUGUAUUUUUUUCAUUUUAUGUCAACAAAAUGAAGCCUCAAGAUGUGUGCGGCCGCAGCCGAGAGGCCAUAGAAUUUAUGCGAGAAAUUUCCCUAAUUAUUACAUCCAAAGCAUCUCUAUUAUCCAAAAUGGAUUUAUGAGAAACACCCGGAAGCUCGAUCGUUUCCAGCGUUUGAUUCUUCUCCUCUGCCCAUAAUUUCUCAAGCGCCCGCAAGCUCACCAUAUUCACCGUCCCAUCUCCAUCCCCAUAGCCCAUUUCCGGCUGUUCAUCGAACCCCUUUUCGCCGUACAACAGAGUCUCCGGCGUCUUCACACCCCCUCCAAUUACACAAGUUAAAUCCACCCCAGGUGCUUCAAAAUGUUCGAUGAGUGGCAAAAUGCGAGAUUCGUAAGGAUAAACACCUUCCUCAAAUCCAAUAUCCUUCAGAAAACGAGGUAUUUCCUCCACUGUGUAGUUAUAAUAUUGAGUCAUUACUAUCGGCUUAUUGUGUUUGUAGAUUGUGGGGUUGGGCAAUAGCCAUAGAUUGCUUUCAGAACUCCGUUGCUCUGUUCUAACACGCAAUGGAUCGACGAGUGGGACGCCGAGUGUGUUCCCUGAUGCGAAUGUGCGCAUCCCUUCCACUGAUCCACCCCAUGGUGUAGACAAGGUCACAAGGUGUUUGAUGAAGUGCCUACGCCAAGAGGGUGUGUUUCGAUUGAGAAAUUGGAGGGCGAAAAGUCCCCCUAAGCUAUGAGUCACCAGUAUUACUGAUUUCCCCCCAUUUGAAUUGCUUGCUUUCUCCACCAAUUCUUUUAGAUCCUUGAGGAACUUGGAACCCACUUCACAGGGAUGACCUUCUGGAGCCAAACCAUAUCGAAAAUCAUAGGGUGCUCCGAAUAGGGUCUUGUCUCUAACGUACCCAAUUGCUUCUAAAGAAUUCACCAGCCCGGCCAUAUAUGUUGUGAUCUUCCUGCCAAUAGAAAAAGGCAACCAAUCACAAGCAAUAUUAGAAGCUAUGAAGCGCGUACACUUCAUGUGAAAUAGAGAAUUAAUAUGAAAUACGUAUUAGAUACUGAUAUUCUGAGAUACUUCUUAAAUAUAUUCAGUACACGACUCAGGGUAUCUAUUUUUCUUUUUAUAGAUAUUGGUUAUGGCAUCACCUUCUAUAACUAACCUGUGUAAAAAGUCCACUGCCCAAGUAAAAAAUUGAAAACCAAUCAUGUAAUCUUCGUGCCCUAGUCCCCGCAAAGUUGUGCAAAAAAUAACCCACUUGAUUAACUUCAAGGAAGAAGUUUUUCCUUUAGGUUCGUACUAAUCCCUCUAAUCUUCUUCUUCUCUAUUGAUUUGAUUCCAGGGUAUCAGCAACCUUUUCUAUUGUAUUAUUGCUGCUUUUUGUAUUGUAUUUCAGCGUUUAUAUUAUAUUUAGUAUUAUUAUCUUUAACUUGACAUUUUAUGUUUUCGAGUGGAUUGCAUUUAGUAUUUCAAGUUAAAUUUACAUAUUUCCUAGAUUUUUUUCUUUAAAAGUAUAUUCAAAGAAUCCGUAUCCUAGUCUUUGAGGUAUUGACAUAUCAUCGUAGCCUAAUACAUAUCUCUGUGUUUGACUUUGUGCUACAUAGAUUUCUAGAAAGCUUACUUGAGAUUGGGAUCGAGGUAGAGAAGAGACUGGACUGAUCCAAACUGAUUGACUCUAGUUUGAACACCAAUUUCAUUUCUGUAAUCAUCCGAAUCUUUGUCAUAAUGAAGUGUCAUCCGGUGAGCAAAGCAAUCUGUGUAUGGAGCCAACAGAACAGUAGGGCUGAACCAAAGCCUGAACCAACCUUGUGAGUCCUUCAUGAUUGGAUUCCAACGGCUGCAAAAUAAGGUGGAGGAUUUGUAGUCUUUGGUGAGGCGAGCUUCCAAUUGGUUCCCACCAGCUCCGGGGAUGAGGAUGAGAGGGUGGAGGGAGUUGCUUGAUUCACACAUGUACAACUGAUGCACCAAAGCCAUUGAAACUAUGGCGAUGAUUUUCAGUUCACCCUUCAUCGUCAUCUUCUUUCCAUGUCUGAAAACUGUUCUUUCAUCUCAUCGUUAUUAUUAUCCCACUUUGUCAUGGCUUUCGUCAACUCAAUGACGUACCCCACUUCUCCAUUUUGUGGUGCACAAUAGUUUGCGUUAUCCAAGUAAAAGUUAAACAACAAUAAUCCCAAUCAUUGUGGGCCUCCGGGCCAAAAUAUAUUGGGCUUUCUAGUUUCUACCCGUAACUAGUAUAACUAUGAGAUAGAUCGAUAUACAUAAUUGGAUUAAAAUAUUAGUAUAUAUAUAUAGCAACUUUUCAAAAAGAAAAAACUAUAAAUAUAAAAUUUAUUAAGGAUAGAAACUAAUUAGUGAUAAAUUUUGUUGUAAAUAUUUGUCUAUCAUUGAUAGACCAUAAGAGUCUAAUGUAACGCGAGUUUAUCAUUAAUAGAUUUUGACAUAUCGACGAUUUUAAAAAAAAUGUUAUUAUAUACUUAAUUGUUAUUCUUAAAAUUGUUACGUAUAAUUAUAACAUCGUCUAAACAUUCUUAUUCUGGCCUAAUACACUAAUAGUAACUCAAUUCUUAUUAGUUUUUUUUAAAAAAAUUAUAUACAUAUAGUAAUAUUAAUAUCAAAACAAGGAUAUAAGAGAAGUUUCUUACGUAUUAGUAUGAAAGAAGUUUGUUACGUAUUAGUAUGAAGUUUUGUAGGGGUCAACAAAUUGUGUGCUGAAGUGGGAGAGUCUAUGUUUUCAAUUAAUCGUAAAACUUAUAUUUUUUAGAAUGUUAUUUGGUUGAAGGUCGUGUACUAAAUAUAAAAAAAUUUGAAUAUUGGAACUGUCAUUUAGAUUUCAGUAGCUAAAUUCAAACGAUUAUGUAGUUGAAUGUAAACGACCGUGUAGACAAAUCUAAACAAUUGUGUACCAAAAAAUCUUGGAAAAAAAGUUUUUUAGAUGGGGGAUGAUCGUGUAAGAAGAAUCUUGAAAAAAAAAUCAUUGCUUACCAAAUAUAUUAUGUGCGCGAGUGACCAAUUAAUCGUGUGUUGACCGUAACAUUUUUUGUAUUUUUCAUUGUGAGUCUGUGAGCUUUUUUGUUUUCGAAAUUGUUCUAUACAGUGUAAAUAUUUCGAUGAUUUGCUAUAUUUUUUUAAAAAAUAUCUAUUAUAUAUUUGAAUUUUGUAGAAAUAAACUACCAUUUAUUUGAUGAGUACAUGAGCAAGACAAUAUGUACAAUAUAUUGUCUUAUGUGCUUAACAAUAAAUGUAUUUACAUUUUUCUAAUAUAUUUGUAAAAUCAUUAAAAGAUGAACAAUUUUCCAAUAUUCAAGAUUUGAUUCAAAUCAUGUGCGUCAUAAAUUCAACAUUUUCAAUGAUACAUGUUUUCGUACUUCAUUUUUACUUCUUUCGGUUCUUGUUUCAACGAAGAUACAAUAUCCAAUAGUCGUUGAUUUUCAUCAAACAAUUCUUGUAUUCUCUCUUUUUGAGCAGCACAAGUUAAUGAAUCUUCCUCACAUUGAUAAUGUAACUGAUCACAUGACAAGGUAUUCUUUUUAUGUGAAAUCGAGCCUUCAACACAAGAUAUAAAAUCAUCUGUAGAUGGAAUACUGGCAAAAGUUGUACUAUAUUCUCCUUUCUCAUCACUAUCAUCAGACUCUUCAUCAGAUAGAGUGGCAUCAAAACUUUUAUUCUAUCUCCUCAUAUAGGUAAGAUAUUAAGCUUGAUAUUGGUCAUACUCUUCACCUUCUCUACAUUUGAAAAAUCUGAUAUCUUUAUCACUUGACUUGUCACACUCUUUCCUUUUAUAGCUGCCUUGAUCUCUCUACUAUUAGAGCCAUAAUUAUUUGUGUUCCUGAAUUUCUUAACAACUCUAGAAAGUUGUUUGGUUAACAUGGCAAUUGACUCAUUUAUGUUAUCGUUCAAGGAUUUACUUUUAUCAAGAUUUACCUCCUCAUGAACAAAUUGAAAAGCAAUAAUUCAUUUACUAUUUAUAGUAAUAGUAAGUGAUUCCCAAUGAAAAAUGACAACUUUCCAAGUUUUACUUCCCUGAUCGACGCCAUUGAAGACUCAAUGAACCAACGUCAACCCGCUCCUAAUACCAAUUGAAAACAAGUGAGAUAAUCAAUAAUAUCCUUUAACUAUGCCUAAAGUAAUUAACAGUGAGAAUAACUAAAGAAACAGAAAGAACAAAUAACACAAAAGGCUUUGUUAACUCAGUUCGGCGAAUAACACCUACAUUUGAAGAGCUUCUUAACUCAUAUAAGAAAUAUUAGUAAGAUUCAAAUGAGCAAGCAACAACAAUCUUAAGUUGAAACAAAAAAUAUGCUUUCCUGAAUUUGUGUUUGAAUCUACUUGAAGAUAAACUCAGUCUUCCCCUGAAUUCAUUGACUGUAGUUCAAUUAUUUCAGUAUUCUUUCAUAUUUCUUAUCAACUGGUACACACUAAGAUCACUAAUAGAAUUUCAGUAAUUUUUCAUCACAACGAAGGUAAUUGAUGUACCCUUCGAAACCUUUCUCCUAAAAGAAUACUUUCGAAUUGAAUGUCCAGAAAAGUGCAUACCAAACCAGGUGUGGAGCUUCAAUAUUAAAGACUUUAUCAAAUCUUCGAGAUCUUCUUAUUUCAAAGAUAUCAAAUCUUCAAGAUCUUCUUAUUUCAAAGAUAUAGAUAAAAUAUUUCAAUUAAAGGGGUAAAUCUUUUUAUCUUUAACAUACAUAGCUUUGUAUUUGUACCUUUUCUUUUUUUAAGAUAACCAAUGUUCAUUAAAUAAUAAAAAAGAAUUCUUAUUAAUUCUUUUUGAAAAAAAAAAAAACCAACACUAACUUGUAAGUAUAACAUAUUCAAUUAAGAGUAUAUAAGCUACCGAGAAGAAAGAGAAUGAUGGAACCAUGAUGAAUGGACCUUAAAUUUAAGAAGGUUGUAUGUUAGUAGUUGGAUGAGUGUUAAUACAUCUUUUGAGUUUAGCACAAACAAGAGAAACAAAGUUGAGUAUAAUUUAAAGGACAGGCGAUGUGAGGGAAAGGAUGUGUGCAUUAGAAAUUGUGUCAUUUAGACUUUGUUGAUGAGAUUUUGAUAUUCAAUAUUCGAGAGUGGCACGCUAGUCCCACUCAUAGGGAUAGUGAGAAUGAAUUUUGAUUUAAAAGUCACGACCAUUUAUUGUGAAGCUUUAAUUGGAGCUCAAUUUUGAUUGCUUGAAAAAUUGACUGAAGAAUCUAAUGGUAAGAUUAAUUUCUAAACUUUUAAAAGUUCAUGACAUUUUUUAAACAAAGGAUUAAUAGUUUUCAUCCACAACUAACAUAAUUAGGGUAUCUUUUAUUUUAUUUUUAAAAAAAAGUUUGAAAAUUCAAUAAUAUUUUAGAAACAAAUUGGAUAGUUUAGCCUAAAAUAGUUAUAUUUUGUACGUGAAUGCUUCAACAUGCAUUGCCUUACCUUUGUUCUAUAAAAUUUAUAUAUAUAUAUGAUCAUGAUGAAAUUUGAGAGAGUUCGAGUCCUUCUAAUCUUAAUUGAAUCUUCCCUCAAUCUUUAAGAUGGAGGAAAAAGUCAUCUCAAUUACAUAAGUUGUGCUCACUUAGGCAAUUACAUUCUGCUUGGAUGGCAUAUUAUUGUUGCUCAUGAUUUCAAUACAAAGGUCUAAAAUGUUACAAGAUUGAAGGAGGUAGUUCUUUACUACUAUUUAAAAAGAAAAAAGCAAUUCAUUGUUCAUAUGGGCUACGUAGUACCAAAAAGAAUAUCUACAACAUGGAGAGAGAGUAGUUAUACUAAGUCAAAAUUUACUCCUAAUGUUUCUCCAUGAGAACACUAACAAGUAUUUUCUACACGUGCAAGCUAAGUCAGACUAAAAAUCAAUCCUAAAUUUCACAACAGUGAUCAUUGAUAAGAUGCAUAAAAAUAUACUUGUUGGAAGGCAGAUUAUAAGUACAAAAGCAGAAAAUUGAUCAUAAUUGUCUAAUCUCUUUGAUCGUGCGCAUCAUCCUCCUCCUCGUAAUCAUCAUCCUCCUCGUAAUCAUCAUCUUCCUCAAAAUCAUUAUCUUCUUCAGUAUCAUAAUAUUCGUCAGAAUCAUUAGCUUUCUCAUAAUCAUUAUCUUCCUCAGUAUAUCCUCAGUAUCAUUAUCCUCCUCAGUAUCAUUGUCUUUAUCAGUAUCAUUAUCCUCCUCAGCAUCAUUGUCUUUCUCAGUAUCGUUAUCCUCCUCAGCAUCAUUGUCUUUCUCAGUAUCAUUAUCCUCAUUAGCAUCAUUGUCUUUCUCAGUAUCGUUAUCCUCCUUAGCAUCAUUGUCUUUCUUAGUAUCGUUAUCCUCCUCAGCAUCAUUGUCUUUCUUAGUAUCGUUAUCCUCCUCAGUAUCAUUGUCUUUCUCAGUAGCAUUAUCUUCCUCAGCCUUUUCACCAUUAGCAUUAUCUUCCUCAGCCUUUUCACCAUUAGCAAUAUCUUCCUCUGCAUCAGACUUAUAUGUCUUCACAAUCACAUAAUCGUCUGUCACAUUAAGAGUCUCACGCUCUGUUGGCCUUAUGCCAGCCACAUAUCUCACAGCAUUCUGACUUAACUCAAAUGGAUCGAACGAACGGCAGAUCCUGAAAUGUUGUUGAUGGUAGGCUUUAUAAUUUAAUAAAAAUAAUACGAAAAGAAUGUACAAAGUAGGGUUUGAAUCUAGGUUUAUAUUAGACGGGGACUGGAGACAGUUUUACCCGAGUUAAAUGGUGCUUUUGGUAUUAUAUCAGUUAUAUAUAUAUAUAUAUAUAUACAUAAAUAAAGAGAAAGCUAAGUUCGCGGGUGGAUCAAAUCCAGCCAUUUGACUUGAGAGAUUUCAACUAUAAAAUGGAUCAAAAGACUAAAAACCAUACUAAUUAAUCUCCUAGUUCUUUCGACAUCUUGAUCUCUGCCGAUUCCAAAUCUUGAUAAAAUCGUUAUUAAUUAAUAUAGACCUAUUUGGAUUAACUUUCUAAUUAACUAUGUACUAACCUUGGAGGUCUAGAAUGAUUAGCCGCAGUUGCUUCGUGGUUUUCAUCAUUGGAAACCUUACCAGCUUGCUUAUACCACUUCGCCAACUGUGCACACAAGAGAAGGAAUGAUAAACAAUAAGAUUAUAAAACAUUUCAUAACAUUUCUUUUUUUUCUAAAACCAUAAUGAUUUACAUUUAAAGAACGAGCAGUGAAAAUAAUAGUUAAAAAUGAUUACCAGUUUAUACGCUAACUUCGCGGCCAUAUUCAGAACAACAAUUCUAGGACGAGGAGACUCAGAUUCUUCCGGGGGAUCCACUGGAUCAGAUUCUUGCAGUAGUUUGGCCAGGGCAUGGGGUUGAGAUUCUUGCGGUGGAUCAAAUUCUUGGGGCUGGAGUUGUUUCACCGGGGCUUGGGGUUGAGAAUCUUGCGGCUGUGGCAGUGGCAACGGAGCCAUGUUGAGACGAGAGGGAGAAGGGAAGGGGGAGUGAGUUGAGAUUUGAAAUAAAUGAGAGGAGCAAGUGACUUCCUUGACAAGCUAUUCUACUUGAGAAACCCUCAUGUUUAUAAAUUUUAUAAUUAUACUUUUUCCCUCCUUUUCUUGGCUUUCUUUUUAAAAUUAGUAUUCUAUUCCAUUAUUGUUAUCACUUUUCCAAAUAUAACUAUAAACAAUUUUUAAUUUUUCUAUUUUCACUAUUUAAAAAAUGUAGUGAAAAUAAAAAAAUCUGACAAUGCACUAAAUAAUAAGGGAGAAGAGUGAAGAGUGAAGGACGAAGAACCAGAUAGUUUGUCUUUCAUAACCCAACGUGACACUUAAUCUUGAAAUCACAAAACUCCCCAAAUUAAUGGUAAUAAUAGAAGCUGGAAGGUUGUCUACUCCUUCAAUCUCCCUUGCUUAGCAAUUCACUAUCUUCUCCCCUUUCAACAAAAAAUUAACUAUUUGUGUAUGAUCGAUUCCAGUAGAUUAAGCAUGUAAAGAAUUGCUUUCUAGGGGAGUUUCCUUGAAGUCAAUUGGAAAAGCGGUCUAUCAAUGAAUCUUUUUUAUAUAAAAAAAAAAAAAAAGCAAACCAUUUGUAUUCCAGUUAUAGUUUAAUAUACUAGAAAGGGUGUAGAAGUUUUAUGGCUUACAAGUUUAUAUUUGAUCACAACGACAAUAAUUUUAUUCAGAUUUUGGCUCCUGCAGGAAUUGACGAAAACUAUGGAAAGUCGGGGAGUCAAUGCUAAUUUCUCAACUAAUGACUUUGUCUUCAGGCAUGCCACUCCAUAGUUUUAACUCACUUUUUUCAUUGUUCUUUUACUUUGUUUAUUGUUGGUUUGGACUUAGAGGGACAAUGAAAAUAAAGUAUAAGGUGAUUGCAACUUUUACUUUUCAUGUUUGGGUAGUACUUUUAGUUUUAACAAUUUUGGUUUUGAUGUAGAAAGCGAAAGCGAUCAAUUGCAGAACAGAGAAAAUCACUCCCAAUAGCAUCUGGUAUUGAUUAAAGUUCUUUUGGUUUUCUCAUUCAUGUUUUUCUCUCUUGCACCCGAAAGUUCUAAACUUUUUCUGAUGGCUGUCCCUUUUUCUUAUGUGCUUAGUUGAGACAAAUUUCAUCCAAAAUGUGCAUGAAAAUGAUGUAUUGAUUCAUAUUGUUGUUGGUGAAACUGGAAGUGGAAAAACAACACGUGAGAUUUUAACUUCUGAUCUUUUAAAUAAGCUAUUAUGUCAAUCAAAACAAUUUGCAUUGCGUAUUAACUAUUUGGCAUUUUUAUUGAAAUAUUUUAGAGAUACCACAGUUCCUCUUUAAUGCUGGGUUUUGUCGACAUGGAAAAGCUAUUGGGGUAACCCAACCUCGACGAAUUGCUGCCCUAUCUGUAGCCAAACGAGUUGCUGAGGAAUGUGGUGUCGUGGUUGGUGAAAAGGUUGGGUAUUCUAUCAGAUUCGAGGAUGUAACUUCCAGUUCCACCAGAAUAAAGUAUAUGACAGAUGGUAUACUACUGAGGUAAAAUAAGACUACUAUUUUUGCUUUUUUUCAUUUGAGACCAUUUUUCUUUAUUGUACACGCAUGCAUGCUUGUAUACAUGUCUCCCAAUUUCUUUUCGAUUAAAUUGUUUCUUGUAAAAAAACAAAUACAUGGGGCAAUUUUUUAUUAACAGUUAUGCUUGUUUCUUCAUGGUUUAGAAAAGCUAGUCAAUACGGAUUUGGUGAAAUGUGUAACUUACCUAUCAUGUCGCUUUUAUUAAUUUUCAGGGAAGCACUGUUAGAUUCUUAUCUUUCUAGAUAUUCAGUUAUUAUUGUUGAUGAAGCUCAUGAAAGAACUGUUGAUACUGAUGUAUUGCUAGGGUAUUUGAAAAGAGUGCAGAAAGCAAGAUCUAAAUCUUUAACUGAAUCUUCUAAUGAUCUGAACACAAAUGAUAAUGGCUUGACGUUAGAAAAUAGAAAUAGCAGUGAAUAUGCCUUUUCCUUAAAGAGAUGUCAAGGAAGGAAACUACCUCCCCUGAAGCUAAUUAUCAUGUCAGCCAGCUUAAAUGCACCCCUUUUCUCUGAGUUUUCUGGUGGAGCAAAGGUGUUCCAUGUCCAUGGGCGUCAGUAUCCUGUAGCUAUAUUUUAUACCCGCCAGCCCAUACUAGAUUACAUAGAGGGUACUCUUAUUACUAUAUUUUAGGUAGUUAUUAAUUUCUCAUCUUGAAUCCUGUAUUUGAUUGAAUUAAAGAUUUUUUUAAUGUAUAAUGUCUAGCUACUUUCUCAUUUAAACAUGUUUUGACUGUUAUUUUUAAAGUAUUUUUUAUCAAUCCUAGUUUUAUUGUUUGAAAGCUUCUUGUCUUAAUAUGUUCUUACACAAAUUUAUUUAACAACGAAGGAAAUGCUAAGUUCUCCUUAUGAACACUAGUUUAGAUCAACAUGAGAGGAUUAGAUGGUAUUCAAGGGCCGAUAUACGUUGUGAUGGAGUCUUGGAGAAGAGAACAAGAACUGAGUCUCUCUCUUUUUUUUUUUUAUUAAAAUAUGAAAUUUUAAAAACACAACAGCCUAGAAUUGAAGUUUUGUAUCUAAAGGCAGUAACCUGAUAGAUACAACCAGUUGAGAAGUUUUUAAGUCAAGAGAUGUUAUUUAGUAAUUAAUAGAAGACAACACACUAAUAAAAACAACACAGUGACUAAAUACGUCAAUUUUCCCCCUCCCUAAGAAAAACUCGUUUUCGAGUUUCAAGUUGAGAUGUUUAAAAGAUGUCGUUGAUGUGUAGGUGGUCAGGCAACUAGAUCUUGUAGGCGCUGUCACCAAAUCUUUUUAUUACUCGAAAAUGCCUUAUCUUCUUUAGCUGUAGUUUAUUGUAUUUUACAGUUGACAAUCUUGAAGAUUGAUUCUAAAAAAAAGAUCAAUAAGUCUAAAGGUCCUAAAAUAAAAUUAUCAAGUCCAAGGAUCGACCAUCGCAAGUUCAAAUAUAAAAAGUAUUAGAUAAAAAUUAGUAACUUGAAACAUUUAUAUUACGAAUCAAUAAAAUCAAGUUCAUUAUCACAAAUUAAAUUUUCUUUGUUGAAAUCUAACGUGAAUAUGUAAAUUAUUGAAAACAUGUUUCAAAACAAAAAUAGUAAUCAUAAAAAUAUAUUAGGAAGAGUUCAAAAUAUAGCAUCAGACGUCACUCACAUAUUACAUAUGAACCCAAACAAACAAACUCUGCAGCCCAAAAUAGACAUAUAUACCAUGUUAUAUAAACACAGUGCCCUAAACAGCUUCGAUGAAUGAAUGCUUGACCUAUAAUACAAAAAUUUAGUCUAAGCCUUAGUCUUUGGCUUUAAGGAGUUUGUGAAACUUCAAUGGAUUUAGACCAAUAUGGAAAGAUUUGUGUACUAUAUAGAACAACUUGAUGAGAGCUUGUUCUGUUACAACCAACAAGUUUUAUUAUUGAACAUUGUGAAAGACAUUACACUGCAUGCAUUAUGAUUCAAAUAUACACGAUCUCACUUGUGAGUAGUAACCAAAAAAAAACAAUAAAAGAACAAUCAUCAUUUUUCACUCUUAUUCAGAACUAGAUAAUUGCCUCUCAAACGAUACCAACAAACAACAACUUCCUAAUUCUACAACGAAAUGCACAGCUAUAAACAAGAGAGAGAUUUAAAGGCUCUGAAGUAAUUUGAGCGUCUCGCCGAUAUGCUUUUCAGGUUGAAAUUGGUUGUUAUAUAUGAGCUGCACAACCCCAUUCUUAUCUAGAACAUAAGUUUGUCUUCCAGGUAAUGUACCAAAAAGAUCAGCAGGAACUCCCCAUUCUUUUCUCACUUUGUUACCCUCAUCACUUAACAAUGUGAAUGGAAGUCUGUAUUUCUUAGCAAAAGCCUACAUUCCCAAAAAUGUCAACCUACUUGUUAAUAAUGCUAGUUUUUGAGUCUUAAGAAGUUCAUCAGAUGAAGUUGAGUUUAAAUAAAAAUAUUCAGCCUGCUACAGAAAUUUUGGUAGCUUGGGAAAAAAGUGCUUCUAUAGUUACCUUGUGUGAUGAUGAAUCAUCCCCACUUAUGCCCACAACCUCAGCUCCUGCUUUCUUGAACUUCUCAUAAGAAUCUCUGAAAGCACAGGCCUGCAUAAAUGUCAAUUUCCUGUUAGGGAUAAUGUCCCUUAAUUGAUGGGUCAAAACUUCAUUGAACUUAUGUUUGGAAGUGAUUUAUAACCUUGAAAGCAUUAAAAUAUAAAAGCACUUGUAAACAUAUCGAAGUCUACAACUUAGUGACUUAGAGCCUGUUUGAUUUGAUUUUAUAUAGGGUUAAGGAAGUGUCACUAGUCACUUGAAAAUUCAAUCUAAAAAGCCCUUGGUGUUUUUUGCCUAAGCACUUGGUGUUUUUAUGUCUCAAGACCGAGCUUAUUGACCCAAACAGCCAAAUCAACAUUCACAUACCGUAUACUAGCAAUGUGGUUGGACACGCUGAAACCAUUCAACUUUCUGAGAUUUUUGUACAUGUGACCCAAAUUUUAUUGCACUAAUCAUAAACAAUAAAAUACUAAAAACAUGAAAACUAGCCUUUUGCAUGUGUCAAUACUAUUAUCCUUUCACGAUCGCCGGUGUCAUUCAUCACAAAUUGAUGAGACCUCAAAUGCAAUUCAUAUCCCAAGAAAAGUCACAGCAUCGCAAGAAUUUGUAUUUUUAUAAAAAUCAUAAUGUGCCUUGAAAUCGCGUCUGAGGACUCGUCAAUUCGCAAUUCGAGCAAAUCCACAACCGUAAAUGGGAUCUAAAGAGAAUUCAGCAUUGACUGGUGUAUUGUAACGUUUGCAAAAUAGUUUUCAUAAUUUGGGUCAUUCAACCCAAAAACAAAUUUGGGUUAUCCAUACAGAACAAAACUCCAACAUUUUCCCCAAGUGUUACUAUUUCAAGCAAGAACGAGUCCCAAAAUAUACUAGCAUAAAAUUAGCCAAUUUCAAUGGAAGCAAACAUGAACAACAUUUUAGAACAUAGAAAAAGUACCUGUUUGGUGCAACCAGGAGUUUCAUCAGCAGGAUAGAAAUAGACAACCACAGGUUUCCCUUUAAAUUUAGAAAGACUCACAUUCCUUCCCUCCUGAUCUUUCAAAGUGAAAGGAGGAGGGGCUUGGCCCUUAUUCACCUACACAUCAACAAAAACAAAACCAAAAUGAAAUACUACUAAUAAUAAAAAAAAAAAAAUAACCAAAAUGUAACACUAAAAAUCCCAAUAAAAGGGGAUGGGGGGAGGGUACCUUAGCGGAGAUGGUAAAUUUGAAGGAAGAAGAGGAAGAAGGAAGAGAUGAAGGGAGAAUGUGGUGAGAAAUUUGAGCUCCAUGAAAGUGGGAAGUAGAGGAUCUAGAAAGAAAAGGAAGUUUGUUAGAAGAUGGGGUUUUGGGAGUCAGAGAUGGUAGAAGAGAAGUGAGAGAGAGCUUUGGAUGAGGAAGAGAAGCCAUUUUUGGAGGGUUUGUGAGAAAAAAUAUGCUCUCAAAAUCCCUCUUUUCUAUUCUUUCUUAUCCUGCGUAGAUAUGGUAGAUGCGUAGACACGCUGGUUUCUUUUUAAUAUAAUUAAAUGUGAAAAUAGGUGGAAAAUCAUGAGUGGAGAAGGAGAUGGUAAUGGUAAUAGAUAGAUUGGCCUCUCCUCUACCUUUGGAUUCAACCAUUGUUGGCCUCACCCUCUCUAGAAUCUUCACAAAGAAUAGGAGCUUGGGAGUGCACUUUUUCAAGUGCUUUUGGGAGACAAUGUUUGUAUAUAUCAAAAUUAACUCAUUCUGUCAGCUUCAUAAGUGGUACCCAUGCUUAAGUUUCACUUUUCUAGUUCUAAAAUAUUAAUAUAGUGUUAAAUAGAUGUUGCUUAUGCUUAUAUGUGUUACUCCCACCGCACUCCAUCCACAUCCAUGUGGUCAUGUGUCUUUGAGGGUAUUUCAUCACUAUUGCUCAAUUAAGCUUACCUCCUACUAUCCAAAAUCUCUAUAAAUAGUGCUUUGUAGAGAUAUGUGCAUCCAUAGGUUAUUAAUCGAAAAAGUGUGUAGUGGAGAUAAUAAACGUAUAUUGCUGAAAUUUCUAAAUCUUGAAAAAAAAUAUUUUUUAUUUUUCAUAUUUAUUUAAUAUUACAUUUUCUUAAUAUUUGUGCUCUUGUCCUCCCUCUUUCUUACAACAUUUAUUUCCUUCUUCAUUUCUUUUCUUUUCUUUUGUUCGUUUUUGCUUCCUUCUUCACUUGUUUUUGUUUUCUCGAAAGCCACGGCGAAUAAUGAAAUAAAGGAAUAUUACAAAUAUUUAGGUUGUGUUUUUUAAUACAUUUCACGUGUUUAAUUUAAAAAAUAAAUCAUUAAAAAAAAAUGAGAGUGUUUGACAAUUACUCAAAAUAACUAAUGAAGUAUAUUUUAAAAACUUUUAUUAAAAAAAUAAAUAACUUAAAAACAUGUUUUUCUUAACCUAGUCCAAACUACGUUUAAUCUCAUAACGAGAAAACUUAGAGAAAAGAAAUGAAAUGAGUAGCUAAGGCAAGACGUUAACAUGUGUGCAUAAGAGUCCAUGCUAAUUUUACACUAACAUGACAAAUGUUUUUCUUUAAAAGAAAUAUUUGAUAGCCAAUUGAGAAUUUAAAUUUGAAAAUAACUUCAAAUAAACAUGUUAAAGUUAGUGUUUUAUUUUUUCAAGUAUGUGUUUGAUAGCAAUUUUAAAAAUUGUAUUUUAAUUUAAAUAAUUAUUUUUGUGUUUGUUACUGAAAAAGUUUGGCCAAAUAAAUGUUGUCACACCAUCACAAUAAAAGUUCAAGUCUAUUUCGAAAAUUAUAAAUGUAUUGAGUCGAGUAAUUACAAUGGUCCAAGCCUAAUCCAAUUUAAGCCUCAUGGUGAAAUUUUGGCCUAAAAAGAAGGUUGAGCUCAAGCUAAAUCCAAGCCUGCCUUAAUUCAUAGAAAUUUUCUAUAAAUAAAGGUCUUGCCCUUUCAUUUGGGAGGAAGAAUGAAGAUUAAAGCUAUGAAAUCUUGAGGACUGAUUAAGCUCUAAAGUUCUUAAGAUCAAAGAGUUCGUAAGAACAAAACUAAUAAACUUGAUAGAUUAAACUUGAUGGAAGACUGAAGUUUUAAAGCUGUUAAGAUCUAAAAGUUUAUAAGAACAACAAAGCUUCAACGACCUAAAGAAUAUAAAGUUUUGAGAAUCUAAAGAAUAUAAACAAUUGAAGAUCUAAAGAAUAUAAAGCUCUUAAAAGCUCAAGAAUAUAACUUUCAUAAAGUUGCAUCCAAAUAGAUCAACAAGUUAGAAGUUGAUCCAAACUAAUCAUCUAAUCUAAAGAUCGAUCAUCCAAGAAAUAUGUCUAAAGGUCAUUCAUCCAUGAGGAUCAUCAAGCCUAAAUGCCAAACAUCUAGGAAAUUGUACUCACUGUAUCAAAGUGAAUCAAUACAAAUACAAAGCUCAAAUUCCACGAAUUAAAUCUUUCUUCAAUUGAAAUUCUCUAUAAAUUUCAUGUGAACCAAUACUAUAUUUAACAUCGUAAAUUAAUUAUAGUUGCAAAAUGAACAUAACUCAAUUAACACAUAUAAAUAAAUUUUGUAUACCUAUUGUUUUAUAAUAUUAUUGAAUGUACAAUAAAUCACACUCGAUAGGAAAAAGUUACAUACUAAAUAGGGAUAUUUUUAAAAAUAGCAAAAUAAAUUAAAAUAUUUACAAGUUAAAGCAAAGUUUUUAGAUUCUAUCGUCCAUCACUGACUAUCAAUGACAUUGAUAGAAUAAUAUUAUUGACUAUCAAAUGUUUGUUAUUGAUAGAAUUUUAAAAUAUUUGAUAAAAUUUACUAAUUUUCUUAAUAAAUAAUUUAAUUUAUAAAAGAAAAACGAUUGUAAACGAGAAUAAAUGGAUGAAAAUAUUUAUAUAAAAAGUUUAAAUAAAUAUAUUAUGCUAUAUUUGAAAAAACAAAGUGAAUAUAUCCGUCUAAAUUGUUGACCAUUCUCUUUUUAUUUUAGUUGCACAAUUUUCUCGUUUAUUCUUUUAAGAUUUGGAUCCGUGUGAGCUCUGUCACACAUAACUCAAAACUCAAACCAGUUCAACCCCAAACACACCCCCGCGCCGCUCAUCUCUUGCCCAAACCACCAGAUCACCAGACCAGCCCCUCUUCUCGCUGCCAACCAACAUCCUUCGCGCCGCUCAUCUUCCCGACUCCGGUACCCACGUAUUCUUCUUAAGAUAUACAUUAACAUGAUCGAUAGAUAGCAACUACUUGAUUUUUCAUUUCCUUGUGCAAUAGGUCAAAUUCCCACUUUUUCCCUAAAUUCUUCCCAACUGUAACUAACAAUUCACUCUUGGAAUUUCCAAAACCUAACUUGUGAAAAUCUACCAAGUCACUGGCAUCACUCUUAAUCUUAUGAAAAUUUAAAUCAAUUCUUAAAAUUCUUGAUAUGGUUUUGAUUUUGAGUGCUUGUGAUAUCUCUGCCUGAACUUCCUUUCGCUGAUAAUUAUUCCAUACCUUGCCAUUGAAUCUUGUCUUUCCAUUGGGGCAGUUAAAUUUGGAGGUUGUAGAGAAAAAAAAGAAUUCAGCCUCGAGUAUAGUUAAAUUCGAAAGUUUGUGAAAUUAUGUGGCAACACCUUCUUCGGCCCUGUAAUUAUAGGACUAUUGAGACUGUUGCUGCUGCUCAUGUUGCCCGCAAAUCCCCAUUGCUUCGUAAUUUAAUCUCCUCCUCAUCCUCUCUUUACCAACCACACUUAAAUGUGCACAAUGAAUCAAAAUUUUUGAUAACCAAUGUAAAACAUGAGCAGUGUGAAGAUCAACCAGAUUUCUCAAUUGGGUCUCCAUGUAGGGUACAGAAACUCAUUGCAUCCCAAUCUGAUCCUCUUCUUGCCAAGGAAAUUUUCGACUAUGCUUGUCGUCAACCCCAUUUUCGACCAUCAUCUUCCUCUCUCCUCGUUCUUAUCCUCAAGCUAGGCCGUUCCAAAUACUUCUCUCUGAUUGAUGAUCUUCUUCUUAGCUUCAAGUCUAGACGUUACCCUGUCACUCCAACAGCCUUCUCCUACAUAAUCAAAAUCUAUGGUGAAGCUGAUUUACCAGAUAAAGCUCUUAAAGUCUUUUAUACUAUGAUCGACUUUGGGUGUACGCCUUCUUCCAAACAAUUGAACCGCAUACUGGAAAUUUUGGUUUCUCAUCGUAACUUCAUUCGACCAGCUUUUGAUCUUUUCAAGAAUGCCCGUCAUCAUGGAGUGUUGCCCAACACCAAAUCUUAUAACAUUCUUAUUCGUGCAUUCUGUUGGAAUGGAAAUAUUAGUAUUGCCUACACACUGUUCAACAAGAUGUUCGAACGAAAUGUCAUUCCAGAUGUCGAGACGUAUCGGACAUUAAUGCAGGGUCUUUGCAGGAAGAAUCAAGUGAAUGGUGCUGUUGACUUGCUUGAAGAUAUGUUGAACAAAGGAUACAUUCCAGACACAUUGAGCUAUGCCACUUUGUUAAAUAGUUUAUGUAGGAAGAAAAAGCUAAGGGAAGCUUAUAAACUUCUCUGUAGAAUGAAGGUUAAAGGUUGCAAUCCUGAUAUUGCUCAUUACAAUACAGUUAUAAUGGGAUUUUGCAGAGAAGGGCGUGCUCUUGAUGCUUGUAAGAUUCUGGAGGAUAUGCAGUCAAAUGGUUGUUUGCCUAAUUUAGUAUCCUACGAGAGUUUGACUAAUGGAUUAUGUGAUCAAGGAAUGUUUGAAUUGGCAAAGGGUUAUGUUGAGGAGAUGACAUUAAAGGGUUUUUACCCACAUUUCUCUGUCAUUCAUGCUUUGGUUAAGGGUUUCCAUAGCAUUGGCAGAAUCCACGAGUCGUGUAGUGUUCUUGAAGACAUGCUAAAGCGUGGGAAAGCCCCUCAUUCCGAUACUUGGGAGAUUAUUAUAUCUGGGAUUUGUGAAGUUGAGGACACUGCCAAAUUUUGUGAAGUUUGGGAGAAGAUUUUGAAGAAAGAUGUAAGAAGAGACACUAGAAUAGUUGAAGCAGGCACUGGUUUGGGUGAGUAUUUAAUUAGGAAGCUACAAGCUUCCAUAUCACGAAGGAUUUGAAUAUUUCUUAGUUAAACUAGUUGUAAGAGUAUUCAAAUUUUUAGUCUCUUGGUUUGAGAUAUACGCCAUAAUCAAUUCAUUUGUAGCUCAAGUUGCACAAACGGCUUGAAUUUUUAUUGUACAUGCUUGAUUGAGUUUUUGGAUAUCUUCCAUCCUAUUUACAGCACAAACAUGAACAUCAUUUUGUUUUUGAAAUUUAUGCUUUUUUCCCCUCCACAUUUGGAUUAGUCAAAAUCUAAAAACAAAAACAAACUUUGAGAAGCUACUUUCUUCAAAAUUUUGCUUGGGUUCUUAAAACAUUGAUAAAAGGUGGACUAAAUAAAGUUAAAAAAAUGAGAUGUGAAAAUAAGGUAGACUUCAAUCUAAUAAGAGAUACUCAAGAACAAUCAUAUAUUGAAAUAUAAGCUAUAAUAUCAAAAGUACCUAACUUUUCAAGAGGACUGCAUUUUUUCAAAUUUUCACCCAAAGGAAAUUCACUACAAAAUUUUUCAUACUAAUAUUUUUCUAAUAACCUAUUUUAUUUCUAGCUAGGUCCCAAAAACGCACCUCGUUCUCAAGGUGUGGGUAGAGUAAUCUCAUUACAAACCUUACUCCCAAAGAAAGAUCAACCACCAAAAAGUAAAACCAAACUGAAAAAAGUUCACUUAAAACUUGUCUACAAAUUCCUGCCAUUGCAUGCAAGCUUGCAGGAAAAGAAAAUUGGACUUCAAUUAUUUCAUGGGCUAACCAGAAAGAAUAACGUUUUCAAAGCCUUAGAAAAAUGACAACCCUACUUAUUCUUUGUAGGUAUGGCAAAACAAGUUAAAAAUAUAAUAAAACCAAAAAAUUACAAAACCCUAAAACUUGUAAAUAUGAGCUACAAUGUUUGAUUUGAUAUAUUUCGUACACUUUAAUUAAAACAUGUAAAUUACCAUCAUAAGCUUACAAUGUAAGGAGAAACGUGCAUUGAGAAUUUGAAAUUGGAGAAGCAACCUGCCCAUUUAUUUUUUUAGUAGUAGCCCUUUUUCUAGAUAGUUUAGGGUAAUUAAAAACAUAAUUUAUAGUUUAAACUAUGGGACGUUUGAACAUGAGACUACAUACAGAUACCAAUGAACUCAAUCGAUAUUUCUCAUCCUCAUGUAGUUUGGGAUUUCAUAAUUAAGUAAAAUUUUAAUUGUUUGUAGCCUCUUCUUUUAAGGUCUAUAAUAUAAUAAUUAGAAGGUAUCGUUAAGAACGUUAGUAAAUAGAGUUUCAAUGGUAACCUUGAAAAUUAAUAUCACAAUUGAAGUUACUUUUAUGACCUAUAAAUUUAUGAACAAAAUCAGAUUGAAAGUAUCGUCAAAAUCUUAAUCCUUUAAGGAGAGUUUAAAAAUACUAAAAAUGACUCACGUAGACAUCAUAUCGGUUGUUAUGAUUAAAAUAAGAGGAAGACACAAAUUGUAAAAGGAGAAAUCAAGUCUCAUUAAUAGGAAACUAUAAGUUCAAAAUUUAAAUUUAAUAACAAAAACUCCACUACUCAAAAUACUCGAAAUGAAAGACAGAUAACAAAAAUUCAGGGAUGAUAGGAACCAAAAAAACAACCAUGGAUAAAGGAGGGCAGUUAAAUCUAAGCCUUGAGGCGACCAAAGAACUUCUGUUUCUCCUGUGUUGUCUGGAAGCGUCCAUGGCCAAACUUGGAGGAUGUAUCGAUGAACUUAAGUUUGAUCUCCUCAAGAGCCACACGAGAAGUUUGUUUGAGAAGAGACUGACGAAGGGUGAUGACCCUCUUCUUGGGUCCAACACAACCUCCCUUAAUCAUCAAGUAGUCACUCUUCACGAUACCGUAGUGAGGGAAACCACCCAUGGGAGUAAUGUCCUUCUCAGUCCUGUUUCAAACAAAGGAAGCAAAAUAAGAGACAAAAUACGAGAGCUACUUUGAAAUCGCUAUUCAACCUAAUGUAGCAAGCUAACCUGUCGAAUUCAGUAAUAGCAGUGUGCGAUUCCUGCCCCGUCUUUCCAAUUUUGUAGACCUUUUUGUUCAUUUCAGUUCGGUGAUGGUAACCGUUCUGACCAGCCCUGGCAACAGUGAAUGACACUCUAGCAGGAUGCCAUGCACCAAU